AAUGAUACUUCUGCCGAAAGCAAGCUCGCCGAGAGGCGGGAUGUGUUGUUUAAGACGGAAAGAAUGUCUGUUGCAGCACAU
rnacentral:sRNA from 1 species